GCUACUGUCGGCAUAAUUCCAACUGUGAGAGGACACUUAAGUAGACCAUGUACUGGUUUGAGACAGAACUCACAUAAUUCCGCCGUACAUUCGGACACAAAGUGACCAUUCUCACCACAUCGGUAGCACGUCAUCUUUUCCUUCUUGCACGCCCACUUAGAUGGUCUAUCUCCCCCAUCUGAUUUAACAAUAGUGUUGUCCUUGAGCUGAGUCGGACCCUCAGCAUCUCCAGGCCCCGGUAGUAACGCAGCAGCAGGGCUCCCAGACCGCCCCUGAACCUGCACCUCCGCUAUUGGUUCAAGAACCUCAGGAGUUGGCAGCGAAUGCUUAGACUUUCUGCCUCCGCCUCGAGCAGCCCAAUUCUGCCUAUAGCCCCC
rnacentral:lncRNA from 1 species